rnacentral:sRNA from 1 species
GAGAGUGACAGAGACAGAGAAGGAAGUGGGUAGAAUGUGAGCUACGAAAGUUUCCACUGGACUCAUGUGUGCUCUACUGGAAGCUAUGCAAUCGGUGGGACAUUCCUUACUCAGGACUAUUCCAUUGGAUUAUAUUUGAAAAACUAACAAGGAGUCAGUGUUGGACCGAUGCAAGAACUGAUAGUGUAUUGUAACCUCGGGGUAGUCCGGAUACUUAAAUAAUAGAAUGUCAUGGCUCUGAAAGAAGAUCGCCUGGCAAAACAAAGUUAUCCUCUACUUCUAUAUAGAACAGUAUAACAUGGUCCUAAUCCUUUCUCUACUCGGAGAACUUUGAUCACAUCGGCAAACAUUGAACUUAAAGAAGUGUGCAUUGAAGUCCUACUUGCAGCAAGAAGUUUUACAUCUCACAAGAGCCAAACAUUCGCCUCAAAGAGUAUUUGUAAGAAGACAUGUUGUCUUAAGUCAUGCAAGACCAUGACACACGUCUUAACGUCUUACAAGCUAAGCGCAACAAGCCAACAUAACUUACCUCUGCCUGGACCAUCCAUCUGUUUGUUUCUGGUUAGUCCUAUAAUAUUUUUGAACACCAUUUGUUAAUGAUUUUAUUUUAUCAUCAGAGGGGAUAAGCUUAAUAGUGUUUUUAUCUUCCAAACUGCAGAACGCAAUCUUGGUUUUAGAGGAUAUAAAUAAAUGUGAUAUAUUUCUCAUUCUUACGGAUAUAGAUAAAAGAUUACAUACAUCUGUUUUGUUUACUCAUAUUUGAAUUUGUCUGUGAUAGAAAACGUUGAUGCAACAGUUUCGAUAUCCACUCAAUUGAUAGUCAAUAUAUUAGUUCCGUGACAUUUUCUAGACAUUAUCUGUGAUAUAUUUCAUUCAAAAAACACGUUUAUGUACAUUUCUUUACUUGAUUUUUAUCUAGAUUCUGCUUUGACAAAUAAUAAAUUAUAAAGUUUCAAUACUUUUAAAAUACACAAAGAGUUAUGUCUGCUAGAGGAACUAGUUAGAUAAUAUUAGCACACAGAUCUGAUUGACGGAUUGGUUGCUCAAUCAAACAGAGAAGAAUGCUUCGAGGCAAAGAGAUUCACUGGGACAUAACUCUUGUACUCUCUGGAAUUCAUCAUAUGUAGCCAGCUACCACGUCCAGUAAUGAAAUUACCUCACAGUAAAGGCUUUUCAACAUCACCUUAAGAGCUCAACUCUUGACCAUUCUUCGAUCCCAUGGCUCCACGAAUCAUGACCCAACCAAAAGUGGCGUACAACAACUCAUGACCCAAAUCUCAACCUAUCGGGUUAUUCAGACUUUAAGCAGGUCAUAAUAACUCUAUCAAGCAUUAGCCUCUUAACAAAAAUCGAUAUUCAAUUCACACACAAUCUUUUAUCCGAUGUUUAUGCUGGCUCGUGAAUUAAACAUUUUUCUGUGGAUAUAGUGGAUUGGAUAC